rnacentral:lncRNA from 1 species
GGAUAUUUUGGUCAAAAAAAUAGCUUUCCGACCGGGCCUAAAAGUGCUUUUUCAAAAAACUCCCAAAUGGAAUUUCUUUCAAAAAGCUGUUUUUAGCUUUCUGGAAAAGCUAAAACAGCUUUUCAAAAUUUUUAUCAAGCAUCCCUAUUUCAUCUAAAGGUGCUUUUUAGCCCUUCAAAAGCUCCCCUAAAUGGGGCCUUAAUCUUUGGCAAGUAGGUUCAAAGCCUAUUGAACUAGUUCAUCAAUCAAUGGAAGCAACUCUCAAUAGACUAAAAUCAUUUUCCGACAGUCCACAUCAGCCGUCAGACGUGCAUGGUCAGUAUGCUGCAGCAUGGUCAAGCAGCGGCAUGUUAUCUUCCUGCAACCUCUGACAAAAUUGGAUAAUAGUCAUUACAUGACAGAUGUAACAAAAUGUUUUCUAAACUCAGAGAUAACACUGGAUUGCAUAUCCUCUUUUAUGUACUGACUGCAUAGUUGGUAGCACGGGUGACAAGUAGAAAUGAUGAUAUCAUUGAUCUGCAGUGUUAUAAAAGCAAUGCUAUCUAAUAUAUUUCAAAACUUGCAUAAUGUCCAUUAUUUUACCUUUUGACCUUCGUAAAGUCUUAUGUAACUUGAGCUUAGGAGAAAAUAUUAAUAGAUACAGUCUUCUAGUCUCAUGAAUCUGCUUUCGAUUCCUAAAGCUGAAAGGUCAGCUCAUCAAUGUAGUUCGGUUCGGAUUCCUAAGGACAGUGGACUUCAAUCAUGAAUGACUUUAGUUGCCAUCUUCUAAGUUUUGCUGGUCACCAUUCAGAUGAUGCCCUCAUGCUUCCUGCUUUCUUCAUGUAUUUCCUCAUUAAAGUUAUUUUGAUCACCUUCAAUAUUUUAAGUUUUCAAAAUUCCAUAAUACAAAGAAGAAAGCUUGGCACCAAGAAAUUAAGAGCACUCGGCACAUCUUAUAGGUGACAUCCUUUACUACCACCUACUGUAUGAUGAUUUCUCAAAGAUAGCUCAUAAGUAAAAUUGUGAAGUCCAAAUUCUCAACAAGCCUCAACAAUAUAAUAGGGCAUCCCCACUCUUGGGUUGGUCCAUAAUGCUCAAGUUGACAUAAUGAUUUUUUCAUUGUUAAGAUGCUCUCUCCCAGAAGAAGAGACAUUUAUCUUCCAAUAGACACAUGCCAUUUUCUUUCAUGGAACACAAGUUUCAGUCAUAGCCUGAUAAUAUCUUAGCUUUUGAUUUCCACACAUAACUUGAGAGGUUGGAUAAGUAAGAUCUAAAAAAGAUGGGAUUGACAGUUCCUAACCAAAUUCCAAAUGACAAACUGAAUGCAAGAAAUCUGGUGACUAAAAGUCUGAUCAUCAAGGAACUAGAAAAGAUCCAGAAGUAGAUGCUCCUAAGGUUGAAAGACCAAUAUGGAAGAUUUGAUUGUUGCUGAUCUUCACAAAGGCACCCAUCACCAGAUCCCAUCGUUAGUUUAAGAUUGCCUUCUGUGACCAGGUAGAAAAUUUCCUAUGAAUCA